UUGCUCCCAAUAUAAGACAAAGUAAACACAUAAAAUUAGAUUCUAAUCUCCAUUCCAUACUUUCAUUCCAGUGUAAGUAAAAAACAUACUCCCACUCUCAGUCCACACUCUCAAUCUUAGGAUUCUCACUCCUUAGGAUUCUCACUCUAAUCCAAAAUGUAAACGCUACCUUAAUGUCUUUCAAAUCAAAUUUGUUGUUAACGCACUUCCAUUUAAUGAGGAUACACUGCUAGUACUAGUAAAGUUAUAAUAUUAUUGCUAACCAGUUUGAUAAAAAGGUGGUGAAAUGCCUUCAUUUGCAGCCAUUUAACGAUGAAAUUACAUGGAGGCUAAUUCUUUAUUCUAUUAAUUUUUAGGACCGUAAAGCUCAUUUAUCAAAAAUAUUGGAGUUGUUUCAUAGAUCAAAUGAAAAAAAUUUCUAAUAAUAUAUGUGAAAUGACUUUAGCAAUGGAUGUUAAUUUAUAGGUGGGUAAAUGAUUGUCAAUGGUCACAACAAUAAUAACUAGUAAACAUUUUUGCAUACCUUUAAAUAUAAAAUCAUAACAAUAAAUUUAAGAAAGAAUAUCUAUUAAGAUAAAUAAAUGCGAGAAUUUGAUAGAUUUGAGCUAAAGGAGGUACAUGUUAAAUUUGAAGAACUUACACUAAAUAAUUCUUUCUUUUAAUAUAUUUGAUCCAUUCUAAAAGUUCCGACUAACUAUAGGCUUUUUUUUUUUUUAAUGUUGAGCCCAUCUUUUAUGUUGUGCCAACUCGUCCCCAUUCCCCAAAAUGGUUCAAAAGCUACUUAGGUCAUUUCAGUAGAGUCAAGGACUUAUGUGAUAAAAAUAAUAACCUAUAUCCUUGAUUCAUAAACCAUAAAAGUUGAGGGGACCAGCAAUCUUAGCGCCCAUUUCAAAGGGUACAAUGAGAGGAUGCGUAAGAGUGUAGCCUUUGAACGUGGAUUCUAUUGUAGAGGAUGCAACGCUGAUUAACGCGGUUUGCAUCCGUUGUUUUGGAGAUUGCCACGUGGCGCGAUUAUACAUGUCUGUCUUUUGUUUUAAGAAAAUUGGCCUGGCUGUCGGUGGUUCUGUAGUACGUAUGGCACGUCUCGGAUCCGAUAGUACUAGUGGGAACAGAUUGAGGAACCCACUCUUUUAUUUUGUCUGUCAGCCGUCUGAUUAAUUAAUUUUAAUGGAUCAUGAUAGAAAUUCCUUGUAUUAUUGUUACAAAAUCUGUUCAUGCCUUAAUUGUUUUUGACCGUGGAAAAAAUACGUUUGCAUUAAUAAAUUAGUCGGGCACUAUAACAAUGGCAGGCAUAUCAUUCUCGUGCGGCUGCAGCACCAACGAACACGAUGCCUACGACUUGUAGUUUUUUUUAUCAAGAUCUUGCUAAAUUAUAUAAUAAUGUAAUUGUAUUAAAAUAAGAGUUAUUUUGAAUAAGUUUUAUGUAGUUUAAUUAUCAAAUACUCUUUAAGUUAUUCGACACAACUCUUAUCCUAAGAGAAGAGUAGAGGAGAGGAAUGGAAAAGAGAGAUGGGGAAAGAAAAUGAAAAAAAAAAUUAUCAAUUUCAGUUUUAUUAUUUAGUUUCAUAUAGAAUUCUUCUCUUCGUCCUUUUGUUUCUUUAUAGUUACUGAUCUCUGAAUUAUUAAGUCAGAUAACAUUAAAAACAUAUUUAGUCAGAAGAAAUGAAAGAGAUUAGAAGAAUAAAAAGAAAAGAGUGAGAGAGAAAAUAAAAAAAAAAGCUGGUUAAUUAUAAUUUUAUUAUUUGAUUUAAUAUAGAAUUCAUCUCUUUUCUGGUUAUUUCUUAUUUCUUUUUUUUUUCUUCUCAUCUCAUUUCCUAUUAUUUCUUCAAAUCAAACAUGCAAUAAGUGCAUCCAUUUUGACAGCCAUCAGAGCAAGACUAACAUCCAAAGCUACUAUUUACUGCUCACAUACUUCAAAAUAAUAAUAAUGGUGGAAACUUAAAGUCAAGGGGGAACAUGAAAGACAAAAAUGUAAAACAAAAUGCCUAUCCAACAUAAUAUAAAUGAAUUUAACCCUCCAAUCAAAUUAAUCAUUAAUCAUGAUUUUUGGUCAAUAUGUUCCAAUAAUAGUAUUUAAAGUGAAACAACUAAAGAGAUCUGGAGAUCUGGAGGAGUUUAGAUCUGACAUUGGUUCAUUUAAAAAAGGCAAAAAAAAAAAGAAAGAAAAAGAAAUAGCAAUGGAAUAUUGUGAAGUCAAGUUCAAGUAGUAGAAAAUGAAGAAGCCUGGGAGGGUGAAUGCGGAGAGCACAACGUUGACAGAAGAGCUAAAAGCAUGUGCUGGUCAUGCGAAGUCGUGACACGAUUGAAUAUUGAUAUUGACUCAGCAACAGAAGCAUUACUUCACAUGAGCAUAUAUGCCAUUAAAUAAAGAGCAAAGUCAUCUCAAUAUCUAAGAAUCAUUUUGAAAUUAUUUCUGAAAUAAGAAUGGAUCAGUCUUAUAUUUAACUAGGAAAUAGAACCGCACUUCAUGUGCCUUUAAAAAAAGAAUUUAGUAUUAUCUUU
rnacentral:lncRNA from 1 species